AGAGCGAACGCUGGCGGCAGGCCUAACACAUGCAAGUCGAGCGCCCGUAGCAAUACGGGAGCGGCAGACGGGAUAGUAACACGUGGGAACGCGCCCUUCGGUUCGGAAUAACUCAGGGAAACUUGAGCUAAUACCGGAUACGCCCUUACGGGGAAAGAUUUAUUGCCGAAGGAACGGCCCGCGUCCGAUUAGCUAGUUGGUGAGGUAAUGGCUCACCAAGGCGACGAUCGGUAGCUGGUCUGAGAGGAUGACCAGCAUCACUGGGACUGAGACACGGCCCAGACUCCUACGGGAGGCAGCAGUGGGGAAUAUUGGACAAUGGGCGCAAGCCUGAUCCAGCCAUGCCGCGUGGAUGAUGAAGGCCUUAGGGUUGUAAAGUCCUUUUAACGGGAAGAUAAUGACGGUACCCGUAGAAUAAGCCCCGGCUAACUUCGCGCCAGCAGCCGC
rnacentral:rRNA from 1 species